rnacentral:miRNA from 1 species
AACCUCAUUGGCCGGAAGGGAUCCUUCCGGUUGAUGAGGUAUAACAACCCCAUCAAUUGGAAGGAAUCCUUCCGGUCAAUGAGGUA